AGAUGCUGCCUUUGGGCAGCGUGAGAGUGGAGAGAGCAAAGGAGAGAGGGCUGCCUUGGCAGCGUGUGAAGAAAAGCACACGGAACAGGAAUUGGAGAGCAGAAAGCUGCCUUUGGGCAGCGUGAGGGACAGAAAAUAGAAAGAAAAUAGAGGGAGGUCAGAGAGGUUAGAAGAAAGUAGCGCGGAUGGGAGGAGGACAGAGACAACGUCAGGUGGACAGAAGCUGCAAGCCUUCUCUCUCUCGGUUAAAUCUUUCCAACUUAUGUUUUACUUUCGGUUUAAUUUUUCCAAACUUCUCUUUUAUUUCUGUUUUUAAUAAUGUGUAAUUAAAUUUAUGUUGGUUAGAGGUUAAUUCGAAACCAUGAUUAUAUUUGUAAUAUGAAUUGAUUACCUUCAGUUGUGAUUUAUAAGUUGUGAAUUCAAUUUACUUAUCCGUUCGUAUAAAAACUGAUUUGUGUAUGUUGGUUGAGAGUGCACGCUUAAUUUACAUGCAUGAAUUUGAUGCUAGAAUAUAAGUGAAUUUCACCUAAUCGUUAUGAACUUAUUUUCACAAGUAGUAAAGGUUGCUAGUCACAAUCACGUUAAGUAAAUUCUUGGCAAGAGUAUCAUGCUUUUCAUAGUUACGAAUGCCUCGUCAAUGCUUAUAGUUUUCACAAAGUUUAAUGAUCUUUGAUUGUAUCUCUAUUGUGCUUUUCACGUAGGGGACUUUUGAAGAAUGUUUUGAAUUGUUGUAUGCGUUUUCCCGUCCAAUUCAAUAACUUAAGGAAAACUUGAAGAUUAAAAAAGUGCUGUUCACGGUUAAUCUGGAGUAUUGAAAUUUACAAUUUAUUAAAAGAACAACUGGAAAUCAUUUUGUAUGCAAGUAUAACAUGUGUGGAGAAGAACCCUCUAGCUAGUCCGUCAUUUAUCAUUUCACCUUAAUUUCAUGUUUUUGUCAAUUCUGUAAUUUAAUUAAGUUUAAUUUAUUUUUCAUCAAAACCAAACACCCAUCCAUUAUUAAAUUAUAUUAUUUAUUUAGUUUUCUUUAUUGUUAGUCUUUUUAAUUUAAUUUCCGUCCAUUUCAGUUCCUAGUGUUUAAUUUAAUUGUUUUCAUUAUUUUGAGUCAUUUUAAGUGUGUUUUGAAUUAUUAGAGUUUUUAGCCUAGUUUUGUGUCCUUGAGUCUUGUUUAAUAUUUUUAAAUUAAUUUAGAAUAGAUUAGCAAUCCCUCCUAAUCCCCGGCCUAGAACGAUACCCUACUUACAUCUAUACUACAAUUGUCAACAAGAGGGUUUAAUUUGUGUGUUAAGUAAUUCACGCAUCAAAUAGCUUUUGGAAUACUUAUUAUAUUAAACUAUUAUAUGUUUAAUGAAGGGCAAAGCUUAUUGUUAAUCACUAUUUAUGGUAUCAUGUGUUUAAGCAAUAAGGGAAUCCAAGGAAUGUAUUUGAUCUAAGAGAGAAGUGAUUUAAGUAAGUUAGAUUAAUGAGACCUUUCUCUUAUGUUCAUUCCUAAAACGUUCCUAGCCAUAGGAUUGCCAAUUGGGCAUUGACAAUCCGCUAAGGUUAGUAUGUGUUAUGUCAACUCAAGCAUGAGUAUGACUAGUCUCAAGUCAUUUAGUGUUGGACACUAAGACAAACACAUAGGUGCUUGAAAGAGUAAUCAAGUACACUGAACAACGAUCAAAAGAGAGUUUGAACAUACAUGUCAUGUAAGAACUCGUAAGUUGCAAUAUGCAAAGUAGUCCUUUGACCUGAGGCAUCAUAGAUGUCUAAUGGUUAGGUCUUUGAUCUUUGAUCAUGUCAAAGGCAUUCCAUCGAGAGUGUCCACGGCAUUGUUGGUGUCAAGCUAUCUAGUCAUGUAGGCAUAUGAAUGCACAACAAGGGAUCUCUAACCUUCCAUGGUGGAAGGAGAAUACUCUAAGAUAUGAUUCGGGACUCUUUGGCCAAAGCAUACGAAUAUGACUUAGGAAGUAUGUUCCAAAUCAUAUUCAAUUGAAUCAUAUAAAGAAGUAUCACAUUGUAUAGUAGACAUGAAACAAACUAUCACUCAAACAAUGUGAUUAAGAGUAUUGUAUUAGAGAAUGACCGUAUUGCGUUGUAGUUGUAACCGGAUAGGUUCUCCAACCACUUCUACUUAGCUUGGGUAACCAUGACAUGCUGCUAGGUGUCACUCAUGGUUUGUGGAAGCCCUGAAGAUUAGCAAACACUAAUUUUAAUCAAAGGGAGAAUUGAAAUGUAGUUUCAAUUCAUAAUCGAUCGUUAAGAGUAACAAUCGCCCACUACCUCGCUAAUUGGAACCUAAUGGAUCGUACACCGAGUAAGGAUGAAAGUGAAGAAAUACAAAUGAAAUGGAUAUGCAAUUAAAUGGUUUAAUUGAAAAUGGAUAGUUAAUUAAUUUUACGAAAGGUUCGUAUUGGGCUUUUAAGUUGGUUUUGGGUUUCGGGGCCCAAAAAGUGUUUUGGUCCACAAAGCCCAUUAUAUUUAAGUUGUAUGACAACUAAAACAAAAAUGGGCAAUUAGCCCAAUAACAAAGACAAGGCCGGCCAUAAGGGAGAGUGGAUGCAAACUUGAAUUAAUACAAGUUUGCCACUCAAAUGUGAUGUAGUAUAAAGUUAACUUUAUAGUUAUUUUCUCAUUAGGGUUUUCUUUAGGGCAAAGAGGUGAAACAUUUUCUCUCUUUUCUCUACAAGGAGGCCGACCACUUAGAGAGGAUUUAGCUAGCAAUCUUUUCUUCUCUAAGUCAUCCAUUUUAUCUUCACACCUCAUCCUUGGUGUGGAGACUUAGAGACACCAAACCUUUGGUGUUUUGGAGAUCCUUUCCUUACAUCCUCAAGGAGCAAAGGAGCACAAAAAGGGAAGGAAAUCACAAGGAAGAUCCAAGGAACUAGGAGGUGACUUGAAGGCCCUCCACUUGGGUGAAUCCCUUGUGUAAACAAGGAUGAGCUUCAAGGGUAAUAAAUCUCUAAAUCUUACCUUCUCUUUAAUGUUGUUAAAGAGUCUUAUGGUUCACCAUUCACUAGGCUUUGAAAGUCAUGGGUUUUAUAAUUGUUUUUGAAUGCAUGCCUACUUUAAUGUGUUAAUAGUUUGCAUAUGUGUUCAAAUAUUCUCACAUGUUCUUAGCUAGGACAAAAUUUUUACUUCAAGUGGUAUCAGAGCCUAGGUCUAGUUUAUGGUGAAUCCUUUUGGGUAUUGUGAUUUUCAUGAUUUGUGAUUUAAAUGUUGUAAAUGUUACAAGCUUUGUUCUUGCUUUUGAAUAUAAAUUUUGCUUGAAAAUUUAGCAUCUCAAAUGUUGUAGAUGUAGUUCAUUUAAGCAUGAAUAUUGGAACUAAAAUUUGGUGCCAUGUAUGUUGGGAAAUUCGCCCAAAUCCAAAGGGUGGAUUUUUUGGUUCAUGUUUGUCUUGUUAAAAGAGUUUUAAAGUGACUUUUGGAACCCCUAAGUACCCUAGGAUAUUAACCCUCUUUUGUAUUAUGAAAAUUUGAGUUUUAAUGAGUGAAAACAUUCAUGGAGCUCUUAUGAGUUUUCAUGUGUGUUCUUCAAUGUUCUUGAGUUUCUUACCAAGAACAAAAGGGUUUGGAAUUUUGAUUCAAAGUGUUUGGUGUUUUUCAUAAAGUUUUGGUUUAUUUAUGUUAAAUGCUAUUAAUGUUUCACAAAACAUUUUUCUUACAACCCAUCCCAUUCACCUUUAUCCUCACCCACCUAUUCCACUUGCAUAAAACCCUUUCACACUCCUUUUUCACUCUAUAACCGACCAGCCCAAGUGGGGGUGAUUUUGGGCCUUUUAUGCAAUUGCAUAAAGUUUUGAUACUUUUGUGUUUUUGUAUUUUGGCCCAAAAGUUUACGUUUUUACGUUAAGGCCCAAAAACUCUAAAGGACAAAUUGUUUUGUUCCUUUAUUGAUGUUUUUGCUAUUGUUAAAAAUUUUGGGUUCUAAUUGUAAUUACAUGAAGUUGUGGACUUUUGUGUUUUUACAAAGUGACCCCAAAAGUUAUGUUUAUUAAAUAAUGGCCCAAUUGUUGAGGUCAUUGUUUUUGGCCCAAAUAAAAUGAGAACAAAAUGGUUUUGUCUCUUUAAUGAGAAUUGGAUUUUCAUUUCAAUUAGUUCCAUUUAAAUCAAUUCUAUGAAUCCGAAAACCAAUUGUUUAAGUUGCUUUCUUAGUUAAUGUGAUUGAUUAAGAAAAGGGUGAUUAUGAACCAAAUGCCUCGAUAAUUGAGCUAUGUGAUUGGCCGCUUUACAUUAUGAAUGUUUGGGUUUAGUAGUUUAGAUUUGAAUGUAAUUUGAUUAGUUCAAAUUUGUUGUAAAUGGACAUAAGUCCAUCUAAUGUGUUGUAAAAGGGCAUAAGCCCUUCUCUUUAUUUCAAGUAUUCCUUUUUGUUUAUAUGUAUGCAAAUUGGAAUAGUUGGGUCCAACGCCCAAUAAGAAAUAACGGUUUAAUUGGAUUAAACGCGUAACUAAAAUCAACAACUAUCUACCUUAAACCCAAGGUCCAACACAAGGCUCGUGUUGGAUCAAAUCAAACGGUUCAUAAUCAUCCUAAGACCUAAUAUGACUAUAUAGUCCAUAUGAGGAUGCAAAGCAUUCGUUAGUACCAUAUAGUCUAGCUUGUUUCAUCGAAAUAGUGGGAGUAUUAUAUAGUACUAAUUCAUAUUAACUUGGACCAAUGGUUAUGAUAGGCCCAAGUUCUUUUAAUAAGAUUAAAAUAAAAUUGAUGUAGCCCAACACUACUCCCUCAACAAAACGAAUAUUAAGUUGAUAAGUGAGAGAUGUUUUGAACAUCUCUUCGUAGGCCUUCCACCAUGAUGGGCUCCAAUCGUUUGUAACUCCUACAACGGCUUCACCCUAUCAUGGGGGAGUUCAAAGUAUGUGCUUACAUUCAGGAGGAGUCCAUACAUACAUACAUGAUGUAGUGAGGUAGGCAACGAGGAUGGCCGACAUCAGAUCAUUGUGAGGCUAUUCUUGAACCCCUACACGAACUAGUAUGGUGGGAAUAACUUAACUAAGUGCAAUGGUGCCGACAUCAUAUCAUUAUGAGGCAUUAUUCUCUAGAGGCCAAACUAGAUGGGUAAUUACAAGAGUUGUAAAUGAUUAAAGCGUUAUUCUCUCAUCAUUAUUUUUGCUAACCAACAUCGUAUCAUCGUGAGGUGGGCUUGGUAAUGGUGAGUCUCCCAUACCCCACUAAGAGUUCAACACAACUCUCGAAUUCCAUUGAGGGAUGUGGAAUUUGCCAAAAAUAGUGGGUGGUACUAUUUGAUUUAAGACCCAAUCAAGUAGUUUUAAAAUCAACAAUCUAAUACGAUUUCUGUUAUGUUAUGUAGUUAACGACAUGCCUAAAAUUACACCCACCAUUAUACUUCACAAAAGGGGCCUUAGGGGCCAACGUUUCCUUGCUUGGUAUCGCCAUAUUGAGAAUGUCUCAAAGGUGAUAGACAUAUUGUAUGUGCUUAAGCAAUCCCCUCCUCAUAUACCUCCUACGAAACUAGCUUCAAAUGAGGAGUGUCAAAAUUAUGAUAGACACUAUGAGGAUAACUUACAAGCCAAAUGCUUAAUCCUCACUUCACUUAGUGAGGAGCUUAUAAAGCUACAUGAGCACAUGGACACUUCUUGUGCCAUGGUUGAAAGUUUGCAUAAGAUGCAUGACAUUGAGACUAGUAAUGUACGAUUCUCAAAUGUUUGUAGUCUAUUGAAUGCCAAAAUGGCAAAGGGGGCAUCGGUUCAUAAACAUGGACAAAAGAUGGAAAGGAUCUUUCAAGAUCUUGAAAGUUUAGGAACUUCCAUCGAUGGGAAAAUGGCCCAAGACUUUUUCCUUGCAUCUCUCUCGGAUGAUUUCACUAAGUUUAUUGUAAACUAUAAAGUGAAUAGAUUCAAUCAUACUUUUACUGAGAUGAUUGACAUGUGCUGUAAGUUUGAACAAGGUUUCAAAAAGGACAGUGGGAGUGAAAAUGCAAUCACAAGGAAAAUGUUGCAUAAGAAAAAGGCAAGAAAAUCCAAAGGAACAUGCUUUCAUUGUGGAAAAGAUGAACGUUGGAAGAAGAAAUACAGGGUGCGCAUUGCGAGCCUUAUGACAAGAACUUUUGAAGGGACUUUUCUGUCAUAGAGAGUGCUUUUACAAUGAGCUCCAAUUCCUGGAUAUUUGAUUCAGGCGCUAGUCAACAUAUCAGCAAUUCGUUGCAGGGACUAACAGGAGCAGGACAUUGCGCAAUGGGGAGAUGAUUGUGCGAGUUGGGAACGGCACUAAGAUCUCUGCUAAAGCAAUAGGCACCUACAUGCUUAAACUGCCCUCUAGGGAAGUCUUGGAACUUAAAAAUUGUUUAUAUUUUCCUUCAUGUAUAAAGAAUUUGAUUUCUAUCUCUAAGCUUUUACGAGAUGGGCACUCAGUGUUGUUUGACAAAAUGAGUUGCACUUUAUACUUGAAUGGUCGUAUUAUCUCUCAUGGUAAUAUGAUAGAGGGACUUUUUCACCUAGAGACAAGUAGUGGGAUGCACUGUAUUGAAAGCGGGAAUACCUCAAAACCCAAAAGGGCUAGAGAAGAAGUUAACCAAGAAAAGAUGUGGCAUCUUCAACUUGGACAUGUGAACCUUGAUAAGAUUCGCAAGAUGUCGAAAGACGGAUAUUUCCGCCCAUUAGGUAAUGACUAAAUGGGUACUUGUGAAUGUUGCUUAAAAAGGAAGAUGACCAAAUCUCUAUUCACUGGGAAAGGAGAGCGUGCCACUGAAAUUCUAGGGUUAAUCCACACUGACGUAUGUGGACCUAUGUUUACUACGUCGAGAGGAGGCUUCUCCUACUAUAUCACAUUCACCGACGAUCACUCUCAGUUUGGCUAUGUGUAUCUUAUGAAGUACAAGUCAGAAUCCUUUGAAGGGUUCAAAGAAUUCAAGAAUGAAGUUGAGAAGCAAACUGGGAAACAGAUAAAGAUCCUAAGAUCAGAUUGAGGGGGAGAGUAUCUAAGUAGCGAGUUCCUAGAUUAUCUCGAAGAGUGUGGAAUAAUAUCACAGUGGACUCCACCAGGAACUCCACAACUUAAUGGAGUUUCUGAAAGGAGAAAUUGAACCUUGAUGAACAUGGUUCGUUCUAUGAUGAGUUCCGUCGAUCUACCAGUAACAUUCUGGGGAUACGCUCUAUAUACAGCAGCUUACUUGCUUAAUAGAGUACCUUCCAAGUCAGUUUCACAGACGACCUAUGAGAUAUGGCAUGGAAGAAAGCCAAGUCUUAAUCACAUUAAGAUUUAGGGUUGUGAAGCAUAUGUCAAGAAGCUUGAAGCGAGAUCAGUUAGGUGCUAUUUUGUGGGAUAUCCUAGAGAAACUAUGGGAUAUGAGUUCUACCAUCCUGACGACCAAAAAGUUUUUGUCGCCAGAACUGCUAAGUUUCUAGAGAACGAAUUUGUUCUCAAAGGAACUAUAAGUAAAACGAUGGAAAUUAAUGAGAUUAAUGAUGAACCACAAACAAGCACUCGACAAGUUGACAACCCUGUUCCUGAACCCCUAGCUCCACGUAGAUCUGAAAGGGUUAGCAAGCCACCUAAGAGGUAUGGCUUAGAGUAAUGACUUUGGGGAAUUGGCACCUUCUAAGUGACAAUGACACAAAGGAAGACCCUAGAGACUACACUGAAGCAAUGUCCGACAUUGAUUCAAAGAGAUGGCAAGAGGCCAUGAAAUCCGAGAUGGAUUCCAUAUAUCAAAAUUAGGUCUGGACUCUUGUAGACCCUCCAGAAGGUAUAGUACCUGUUGGAAACAAAUGGGUCUUCAAGAGGAAGAUAGGCGUUGAUGGGAACGUGGAGACUUAUAAGGCUAGACUAGUAGCCAAGGGUUAUAGGUAACGAGAAGGGAUUGACUAUGAAGAAACCUUCCCUCCUGUAGCCAUGAUUAAGUCCAUUCGGAUUUUGCUUGCUAUAGCUGCGUACCAUGAUUAUGAGAUAUGGCAAAUGGACGUGAAGAUGGCCUUUCUGAACGGCUACCUAGAGGAAUAGCUCUAUAUGACUCAACCCGAAGGUUUCGUGUCCAAGUCUGAAAAGACUAAGGUAUGCAAGCUUCAAAGGUCCAUUUAUGGACUUAAGCAAGCCUCCAGGAGCUGGAACAUUCGUUUCGAUACUGAAAUCAAAAUGUUUGGUUUUACUCAAAACGAAGACGACAAUUGUGUUUAUCAAAAAGUCGUUGGGGAUACAGUUGUAUUCCUAGUGUUAUAUGUAGAUGACAUAUUACUAUUCGGGAAUGACACUGCAGUACUUUCUUUUGUAAAAGUGUGGUUGUCCAAAACCUUCCACAUGAAAGAUUUGGGAUAUGCAUCUUAUGUACUUGGGAUAAAGCUCUAUCGUGAUAGAUCCAGAAAAUUAAUUAGAUUAUCCCAAUCUAUGUACAUAAAUAAGGUGCUAAGAACAAUCCAAGAAAUGUCUUCUUCCUGUAAGACAUGGAAUUCACCUUUCUAAGUCCAUGGGACCUAAAACUCCUGAAGAGAUACGGCAUAUGAGUGUUAUUCCUUAUGCUUCCGCCAUAGGAAGUCUCAUGUAUGCCAUGAUAUGCACAAGGCCUGAUAUCGCAUAUACUGUGAGCAUUACUAGUCGAUAUCAAUCUAACCCAGGAUCAGAACACUGGGCAGCGUCAAGACGGUCCUUAAGUACUUAAGAAGAACUAAGGACAUGUUCCUCGUUUAUGGAGGAGCAACAGAGUUGCGAGUGGAAGCCUAUACAGACGCAGAUUUCCAAUCUGACGUCGAUGAUAGAAGUUCCAACUCCGGAUAUGUAUUCACUCUGAAUGGUGGGGCUGUUAGCUGGAAAAGCAAGAAACAAGAUGUAAUUGCUGAUUCCACGACAGAGGCAGAAUAUGUCGCUGCAGCUGAAGCCGACAAAGAAGCGUUCUGGAUGAAGAAGUUCAUCACUGAACUUGGAGUGGUUCCAACCAUUACAUCAACCAGUAACUUUGUACUGUGAUAAUAGUGGGGCGAUAGCUCAAGCCAAGGAACCCAGGGCUCAUCAAAAGAACAAGUAUUUUGACAGGCGCUUUAAUAUCAUUAGAAGAUAUGUUGCCGAGGGGAAAGUCAACAUCCUCAAAGUUGCCUCAGCAGAUAACGUAGCAAAUCCACUGACAAAGCCAAUGUCUCAAAUCCAACUUGACCGCCAUAUGGAAAAGAUGGGUAUUAGAUACAUGGGAAGGUGGCUUUGAGUGCAAGUGGGAGAUUGUUGGAAGUAUGCCCACAAAGCCACUCAUUUGAUGUAAUAGCUUUCAGAAUACUUAUUGUAUUAAACUAUUAUAUGUUUAAUGAAGGGCAAAGCUUAUUGUUAAUCACUAUUUAUUCUAUCAUGUGUUUAAGCAAUAAGGGAAUCCAAGGAAUGUAUUUGAUCUAAGAGAGAAGUGAUUUAAGUAAGUUAGAUUAACAAGACCUUUCUCUUAUGUUCAUUCCUAAAACGUUCCUAGCCAUAGGAUUGCCAAUUGGGCAUUGACAAUCCGCUAAGGUUAGUAUGUGUUAUGUCAACUCAAGCAUGAGUAUGACUAGUCUCAAGUCAUUUAGUGUUGGACACUAAGACAACACACAUAGGUGCUUGAAAGAGUAAUCAAGUACACUGAACAACGAUCAAAAGAGAGUUUGAACAUACAUGUCAUGUAAGAACUCGUAAGUUGCAAUAUGCAAAGUAGUCCUUUGACCUGAGGCAUCAUAGAUGUUGAAGGAAUAUUUUGUGAAAACAUGUUCAUUUAAGCAACAUCAAUAAGCAUGCAAUUAACAAUUAAAGGCGGAAUCAUGCUUGCAUGCACUUAAAAACAAAACAUUAACCAUGAAAUUCAAAGCCUAGUAGAUUGGUGAACCAAGACUCAACUCAAAUCAAAGUGAGUUGAGAAAUUUACCUUUGUAGAUUCCUCUUUGCAUAAGCA
rnacentral:lncRNA from 1 species